UACGGAGGAUGCAAGCGUUAUCCGGAAUGAUUGGGCGUAAAGCGUCCGCAGGUGGCAAUGUAAGUCUGCUGUCAAAGCGUCUGGCUCAACCAGAUAAAGGCAGUGGAAACUACAUAGCUAGAGUAAGGUAGGGGUAGAGGGAAUUCCUGGUGUAGCGAUGAAAUGCGUAGAGAUCAGGAAGAACACCGGUGGCGAAAGCGCUCUGCUGGACCUCAACUGACACUGAGGGACGAAAGCUAGGGGAGCGAAUGGG
rnacentral:rRNA from 1 species